GCCAAUCCACACUCAUCACUCGGAUCACUCUCUGAGCCGUAUGAUACAUUUAGAUCAAUGGAUGAGAAUUUUUCUUUUUCUUUUUCCCUUUUCUUUUUUUUUCUCUUUCUCUCUUAUCUUCACGAAUCUCUAAUCCUCUCCGUCGUCUUCGAAAAAUCUCUCUUCCUUUUCAGAUUUCAUCUCCGAAAAAUCUUUUACCAAACUCCAUCUUUGUUCUUAAUCAUCUCACACACACCUCUCCCUGUCUUACUCUCCUAACCUCACUCACAGACAAGAUUCAUCUCACACAGACAUCUCUCUCACACACAAACACAUCCACAAACGAAAGAGAGAGAUGGAAUUCGGAGAAGACGCGACGGCCGGUCACAUCGAUUCAAUGAUUUGGAGUAUUGUCUCUUGUGGGGAUGUUGGUUCAUGAACGGAUUCAAUGAUAGAAGAAUGUGGCUUUAGGUUUCUGCUAGCUUUCGAGCCGUUGAUUUUUGUUCGAGCUAUGCCACUGGAGUAGGCGAACAGAGGCAGAUGCUGGAACAGAGGCGUGGGCUCUGGAGGCUUGAAUAGAGGCGUAGGAGUUGGGGAUAUUUUUGGGGGUUUUUAGAUUUAGGUUUAAACCCGGUUUGAUUGUAAACCGGAUAAUUUAUAAACCGAAUAAAUUUGUAAUCUGGUUUAAUUUAUAAACCGUAAACAGCUGUAAACCAACUUUUUAAUAUAAACCGAAGUCAUUUAUAUAA